rnacentral:rRNA from 1 species
UACAGAGGUCUCAAGCGUUGUUCGGAUUCAUUGGGCGUAAAGGGCGCGUAGGCGGCGGGGUCAGUCGGGUGUGAAAUCUUGGGGCUUAACCCCGAAACGGCACUCGAAACUGCCCGGCUGGAGGGCCGGAGAGGAGAUCGGAAUUCACGGUGUAGCAGUGAAAUGCGUAGAGAUCGUGAGGAAGACCCGUGGCGAAGGCGGAUCUCUGGACGGCUAACUGACGCUGAGGCGCGAAGGCCAAGGGAGCAAACGGG